GUCACUACUUGCAGAGAACAGGAAUCUAUAAACUCAUACCAUAAGAGAAAGGAAAAUUUGUUUUUCUCCUCCCUAUGUUGAGGGAGUGCUAGGAUAGACUUCAGGCCACAUUAGAUAGCAUUAUCAAGACUUUCCCUGGGUCUGGGCUGUGCCUGUUGCUGCUUCUGGGACAAGUCAGCCUAAUACAGGAAAACUUAUUUCUUUUUUUUAAAUUUUCUUUUUCUUUCUUUCUUUAAUUUCCCACCUCAGCGCAUGUCUGGUGAUAGGCACAGGAAGACGGACGCCACAGUUAGCGGGAACCCGCUUUACAAGUGAAAUAUCCCUGCGUUAUUGAAGCGAACUGGAGUCCCCCACCCAGCACAGCAAAGCCAAACACUGACAUGGGGCUAGCAGCGAGAGAAAAUGAGGAAAUUUUUGAAGGGCACCAAGCAAGGACAUUCAGGCAGCUCAUGCUUCAGGCCUGCACUCCCUGAUGGCUUACAGGGUCUUGCUCUGUCACCUAAACUGGAGUGCAGUGGUG
rnacentral:lncRNA from 1 species